AGCGAACGCUGGCGGCAGGCCUAACACAUGCAAGUCGAACGACGCCUUCGGGCUUAGUGGCGGACGGGUGAGUAACACGUGGGAACGUACCUUUUGGUUCGGAAUAACGCAGAGAAAUUUGCGCUAAUACCGGAUGAGCCCUUCGGGGGAAAGAUUUAUCGCCGAAAGAUCGGCCCGCGUUGGAUUAGGUAGUUGGUGUGGUAAAGGCGCACCAAGCCUACGAUCCAUAGCUGGUCUGAGAGGAUGAUCAGCCACACUGGGACUGAGACACGGCCCAGACUCCUACGGGAGGCAGCAGUGGGGAAUCUUGCGCAAUGGGCGAAAGCCUGACGCAGCCAUGCCGCGUGAAUGAUGAAGGUCUUAGGAUUGUAAAAUUCUUUUACCAGGGACGAUAAUGACGGUACCUGGAGAAAAAGCCCCGGCUAACUUCGUGCCAGCCGCCGCCGUAACAC
rnacentral:rRNA from 1 species